AUAAUGGGUCAGCGACUUAUAUUCUGUAGCAAGGUUAACCGAAUAGGGGAGCCGAAGGGAAACCGAGUCUUAACUGGGCGUUAAGUUGCAGGGUAUAGACCCGAAACCCGGUGAUCUAGCCAUGGGCAGGUUGAAGGUUGGGUAACACUAACUGGAGGACCGAACCGACUAAUGUUGAAAAAUUAGCGGAUGACUUGUGGCUGGGGGUGAAAGGCCAAUCAAACCGGGAGAUAGCUGGUUCUCCCCGAAAGCUAUUUAGGUAGCGCCUCGUGAAUUCAUCUCCGGGGGUAGAGCACUGUUUCGGCAAGGGGGUCAUCCCGACUUACCAACCCGAUGCAAACUGCGAAUACCGGAGAAUGUUAUCACGGGAGACACACGGCGGGUGCUAACGUCCGUCGUGAAGAGGGAAACAACCCAGACCGCCAGCUAAGGUCCCAAAGUCAUGGUUAAGUGGGAAACGAUGUGGGAAGGCCCAGACAGCCAGGAUGUUGGCUUAGAAGCAGCCAUCAUUUAAAGAAAGCGUAAUAGCUCACUGGUCGAGUCGGCCUGCGCGGAAGAUGUAACGGGGCUAAACCAUGCACCGAAGCUGCGGCAGCGACGCUGAUGCGUUGUUGGGUAGGGGAGCGUUCUGUAAGCCUGCGAAGGUGUGCUGUGAGGCAUGCUGGAGGUAUCAGAAGUGCGAAUGCUGACAUAAGUAACGAUAAAGCGGGUGAAAAGCCCGCUCGCCGGAAGACCAAGGGUUCCUGUCCAACGUUAAUCGGGGCAGGGUGAGUCGACCCCUAAGGCGAGGCCGAAAGGCGUAGUCGAUGGGAAACAGGUUAAUAUUCCUGUACUUGGUGUUACUGCGAAGGGGGGACGGAGAAGGCUAUGUUGGCCGGGCGACGGUUGUCCCGGUUUAAGCGUGUAGGCUGGUUUUCCAGGCAAAUCCGGAAAAUCAAGGCUGAGGCGUGAUGACGAGGCACUGCGGUGCUGAAGCAACAAAUGCCCUGCUUCCAGGAAAAGCCUCUAAGCAUCAGGUAACAUCAAAUCGUACCCCAAACCGACACAGGUGGUCAGGUAGAGAAUACCAAGGCGCUUGAGAGAACUCGGGUGAAGGAACUAGGCAAAAUGGUGCCGUAACUUCGGGAGAAGGCACGCUGAUAUGUAGGUGAAGUCCCUCGCGGAUGGAGCUGAAAUCAGUCGAAGAUACCAGCUGGCUGCAACUGUUUAUUAAAAACACAGCACUGUGCAAACACGAAAGUGGACGUAUACGGUGUGACGCCUGCCCGGUGCCGGAAGGUUAAUUGAUGGGGUUAGCGCAAGCGAAGCUCUUGAUCGAAGCCCCGGUAAACGGCGGCCGUAACUAUAACGGUCCUAAGGUAGCGAAAUUCCUUGUCGGGUAAGUUCCGACCUGCACGAAUGGCGUAAUGAUGGCCAGGCUGUCUCCACCCGAGACUCAGUGAAAUUGAACUCGCUGUGAAGAUGCAGUGUACCCGCGGCAAGACGGAAAGACCCCGUGAACCUUUACUAUAGCUUGACACUGAACAUUGAGCCUUGAUGUGUAGGAUAGGUGGGAGGCUUUGAAGUGUGGACGCCAGUCUGCAUGGAGCCGACCUUGAAAUACCACCCUUUAAUGUUUGAUGUUCUAACGUUGACCCGUAAUCCGGGGUGCGGACAGUGUCUGGUGGGUAGUUUGACUGGGGCGGUCUCCUCCUAAAGAGUAACGGAGGAGCACGAAGGUUGGCUAAUCCUGGUCGGACAUCAGGAGGUUAGUGCAAUGGCAUAAGCCAGCUUGACUGCGAGCGUGACGGCGCGAGCAGGUGCGAAAGCAGGUCAUAGUGAUCCGGUGGUUCUGAAUGGAAGGGCCAUCGCUCAACGGAUAAAAGGUACUCCGGGGAUAACAGGCUGAUACCGCCCAAGAGUUCAUAUCGACGGCGGUGUUUGGCACCUCGAUGUCGGCUCAUCACAUCCUGGGGCUGAAGUAGGUCCCAAGGGUAUGGCUGUUCGCCAUUUAAAGUGGUACGCGAGCUGGGUUUAGAACGUCGUGAGACAGUUCGGUCCCUAUCUGCCGUGGGCGCUGGAGAACUGAGGGGGGCUGCUCCUAGUACGAGAGGACCGGAGUGGACGCAUCACUGGUGUUCGGGUUGUCAUGCCAAUGGCACUGCCCGGUAGCUAAAUGCGGAAGAGAUAAGUGCUGAAAGCAUCUAAGCACGAAACUUGCCCCGAGAUGAGUUCUCCCUGACUCCUUGAGAGUCCUGAAGGAACGUUGAAGACGACGACGUUGAUAGGCCGGGUGUGUAAGCGCAGCGAUGCGUUGAGCUAACCGGUACUAAUGAACCGUGAG
rnacentral:rRNA from 1 species